rnacentral:rRNA from 1 species
GACGAACGCUGGCGGCGUGCUUAACACAUGCAAGUCGAACGGAAAGGCCCUGCUUUUGUGGGGUGCUCGAGUGGCGAACGGGUGAGUAACACGUGAGUAACCUGCCCUUGACUUUGGGAUAACUUCAGGAAGCUGGGGCUAAUACCGGAUAGGAGCUCCUGCUGCAUGGUGGUGGUUGGAAAGUUACGGCGGUGGGGGCUGGACUCGCGGCUUACCAGCUGCUUGGUGGGGUAGGGGUUUACAAAGGCUUCGACGGAUAGCCGGCCUGAGAGGUGGGACGGGCACAAUAGGACUACGGGAGGGCGCAGAAUCCUACGUGAGGCAGCAGUGGAGAGUAUGACGCAAUGGGGGGAAGCCAGAUGCGGCAGCGCCGGGUGCGUGAUGACGGGCUUCGGGGUGUAAACCGCUUUCGCCGGUGACGAGGCGUGAGUGACGGUAAUGAGUAAGAAAGCACCGGCUAACUACGUG